UACAGAGGUGGCAAGCGUUGUUCGGAAUUACUGGGCGUAAAGGGCGCGUAGGUGGCCUUCUUAGUCAGACGUGAAAUCCCCAGGCUUAACCUGGGAACUGCGUCUGAUACUGGAAGGCUCGAGUUCGGGAGAGGAAUGUGGAAUUCCAGGUGUAGCGGUGAAAUGCGUAGAUAUCUGGAGGAACACCGGUGGCGAAGGCGGCAUUCUGGACCGAAACUGACGCUGAGGCGCGGAAGCCAGGGGAGCAAACGGG
rnacentral:rRNA from 1 species